rnacentral:rRNA from 1 species
GAUGAACGCUGGCGGCAGGCCUAACACAUGCAAGUCGAACGGUAGCACAGAGAGCUUGCUCUCGGGUGACGAGUGGCGGACGGGUGAGUAAUGUCUGGGAAACUGCCCGAUGGAGGGGGAUAACUACUGGAAACGGUAGCUAAUACCGCAUAACGUCGCAAGACCAAAGUGGGGGACCUUCGGGCCUCACACCAUCGGAUGUGCCCAGAUGGGAUUAGCUAGUAGGUGGGGUAAUGGCUCACCUAGGCGACGAUCCCUAGCUGGUCUGAGAGGAUGACCAGCCACACUGGAACUGAGACACGGUCCAGACUCCUACGGGAGGCAGCAGUGGGGAAUAUUGCACAAUGGGCGCAAGCCUGAUGCAGCCAUGCCGCGUGUAUGAAGAAGGCCUUCGGGUUGUAAAGUACUUUCAGCGGGGAGGAAGGCGGUGAAGUUAAUAACUUCACCGAUUGACGUUACCCGCAGAAGAAGCACCGGCUAACUCCGUGCCAGCAGCCGCCGCAG